UACGUAGGUGGCAAGCGUUGUCCGGAUUUACUGGGCGUAAAGGAUGCGUAGGCGGACAUUUAAGUCAGAUGUGAAAUACCCGAGCUUAACUUGGGUGCUGCAUUUGAAACUGGGUGUCUAGAGUGCAGGAGAGGUAAGUGGAAUUCCUAGUGUAGCGGUGAAAUGCGUAGAGAUUAGGAAGAACACCAGUGGCGAAGGCGACUUACUGGACUGUAACUGACGCUGAGGCAUGAAGGCGUGGGGAGCGAACGGG
rnacentral:rRNA from 1 species